GGCCUAGUGGCGUAAGACAUCGCACCCUCGAUUAUUGCAAGGUAAUCUCAAACACUAUUCGAGGGAGGUCCUGGUUCGAGUCCAGGCUAGGUCA